AGUCCCAUGACAUGUAUUUUCCGCGCAUCUAUAGAUUUUCAGUACUGGCAGUGAAUUUCGGAACACAGCCAAAGUUUCUAUCACUGGUGCUAUAUAGGAAGUUUGUGUGUGUGUGGGUAGUUUCGGAUAGCGGUAGCACUGCCUUUGAUUGAUUAAAAAGGACAAAAGCUCCAGGUCAAAAUUCUAAAAGAAGAAUAAUAAUUAAUGUUCGUUGUUAGAAUAUACGUGUAUAGACGUAUAUUUUUUUAAUAAUUAACAUUAAUGUCAAUAUUUUAGAGUAAGAUUAGGUUAGGUUAGAUUUUUAGCGGGGUGGAGGCUUUGCAGAUAUUUGUAUUUAAUUUUUUAUUAUAAAACCAGUUAUUUUUAAAUAUUUCUAAACCAUAUUUCAUAUAAAUUUCGUACCCUUUUACGAAACUGCGUAUACUUUAUAUGCUCGUGUGCUGUGUACAUAUUGUACAUUUUCUAAUCUCCAAACUGUCACUUUUUAGCACUUUAUAAUUUUUGUUUUAUUUAAGAGCGACAAUUUUAACUUUCAUAUUCGUGUUUUGCGCAAUAAAAUAUAUAAUAUUCUGAGAUUUCAGGUAAAUCAGUGAGGAAGAUCGUCUGCUUAACAAUUACCUAAUAUCUAUUUUUAUAGGAGCAACAUCUUAUCUCCUACUAUCUAUAGAUAAAGCUGGACAGAUAGCAGAAUGAAAGAAACUUUCUCGAUUGAAUUACAAAAUGAUUCCUACAACACCCAUUUUGCAGUCAAUAAAUAACUGAAGAAAUCUUCUCUACAAUUAUUCAACAGUAGACAAUGGACAGUGUGGAACAAACAAUGGAAGAAACUUCGUCCACAUGGCUAAGAUGGUCUUGGACAACCUUAUAAGUCUUGUAAGGACAAGUCUUAGAAAUCUUGUAAUCUAGCAGUCUUUCAACGUUGACAGUCUAACAAAGUAAUGAACAAGCUUAAUUAAUAUUUUAAUUACAAUUUUAAUUAUUAGUUAAGACUAGGAAAAAUUAAUGAUAAUUUGAGUACAUAUUAAUGUAUGUUUAAAAAAUUCAAUUUUGAUUUACUGAUAUUGUUGUUUUAAAAAUAGUGUGAUUACACAGUAUUUGUAAACAAAUAGUAUAACAGAGUCUCGAUUAAAAUUAACAUUUUAUUGAGAAUUAAUAUAUAUUUUCCAAGUAUUUUUUAUCAUUUUUUUAAAUUUUCUCAUAUUUUAUUUUCAUAUUUGUUAAUGUUGUAAUAUAUAAAUUUUAUUAUUAUUGUUAUAUUAUUAGUAUUAUGCACAAAGUGUAUAUCAGUUUAUUAUUAUUAGUAUUGUUAAAGUUUAAAUCAUAUAUUCAGAGCACUGGGAGAAAUAUCCCCAAUUUCAAAACAAUAAAAGUAUAUUAUACUAAGAUAUCAUAUUAUUUUUAACUUCACAUAUUAUGUGUAAGGCUAAGAAAUGUGGAAGCAUUUGUAAUUAAGACAUAUGUGCUCUUGGUAAUAAGACAUAUUGCAUUGUAUCAAAUCAUUUAAUAAAAUAAUUAUAUUAGAAUAUAAAAUGUAAGAAUGAUAUAUAUUCCAGACAGCAUAAAAUUUCUAGAAGAUGUUCUGAGGAUGUUCUCAGGACAUAGAGACAUUCUCAGAAAGUCUUGAGGAUAUCCUGUGGAGAUUUAUGCUGUUAGGAAUAAGUCUGAUAAAAUGUUACCUUACAUUUAAUUGUGAUUUGAUUUAAAACUGUAAUUAUUAUAUUAUAUUGUAUUAUGUAUUAUUUAAAAAUAUAUAUUUUAUUUUAUAUA